rnacentral:rRNA from 1 species
CCCUUAGAUGUCCUGGGCUGCACGCGCGCUACACUGAUGUAUUCAACAAGUGUUACCUUGACCGAGAGGCCUAGGAAAUCUUUUAAAAGUGCAUCGUGAUAGGAAUAGAUUAUUGCAAUUUUUAAUCUUGAACGAGGAAUUCCUAGUAAACGCAGAUCAUCAAUCUGCAUUGAUUACGUCCCUGCCCUUUGUACACACCGCCCGUCGCACCUACCGAUUGAAUGGUCCGGUGAAGCCUCGGGAUUGUAGCAAUCUACCUUUAUUGGUGGUUUGUUGCAAGAACUUGUCUAAACCUUAUCAUUUAGAGGAAGGUGAAGUCGUAACA